AGUGAACGCUGGCGGUAGGCCUAACACAUGCAAGUCGAACGGCAGCACAGUAAGAGCUUGCUCUUACGGGUGGCGAGUGGCGGACGGGUGAGGAAUACAUCGGAAUCUACUUUUUCGUGGGGGAUAACGUAGGGAAACUUACGCUAAUACCGCAUACGACCUACGGGUGAAAGCAGGGGAUCUUCGGACCUUGCGCGAUUGAAUGAGCCGAUGUCGGAUUAGCUAGUUGGCGGGGUAAAGGCCCACCAAGGCGACGAUCCGUAGCUGGUCUGAGAGGAUGAUCAGCCACACUGGAACUGAGACACGGUCCAGACUCCUACGGGAGGCAGUAGUGGGGAAUAUUGGACAAUGGGCGCAAGCCUGAUCCAGCUAUACCGCGUGGGUGAAGAAGGCCUUCGGGUUGUAAAGCCCUUUUGUUGGGAAAGAAAAGCAGCAGGUUAAUACCCCGCUGUUCUGACGGUACCCAAAGAAUAAGCACCGGCUAACUUCGUG
rnacentral:rRNA from 1 species